UACGGGGGGGGCAAGCGUUGUUCGGAAUUACUGGGCGUAAAGGGCUCGUAGGCGGCCAACUAAGUCAGACGUGAAAGCCCCGGGCUCAACCUGGGAAUUGCGCUUGAUACUGCGGCGCUGGAAGGUGGGAGAGGAUGGCGGAAUUCCCAGUGUAGAGGUGAAAUUCGUAGAUAUUGGGAAGAACACCGGUGGCGAAGGCGGCCAUCUGGCCCAUUUUUGACGCUGAGGCGCGAAAGCGUGGGGAGCAAACAGG
rnacentral:rRNA from 1 species